GGCGAGAUAGUUUAUUGAAAAUGUCUAUUUUACGCGUAGAAGAAGGAUUACCUAUCGUCA
rnacentral:tRNA from 1 species